GGAGGCUGUGAUUGCUGGCAGGGCGAGCGCUGCCUUGGGUCUCGCUGGCCCGCUCCGGGCCUCAGUUUCCCCAGCUGUUAAAGUGGGGCAGCGACACUGAGCUGCUUGGGAAAGCGCUUGGCGGCGGAAAGGGCCGGGUGUUAUUAGCAGCACUGCCCGGCACUACGCCCCGCUCAGGAGCUCCCAGUGCUUUCCUGAGCCUCCCCGGUGCUCGGCGAGGUCCAUGUUACCCGCUCCCCCGGAGCCCGGCCUACCUCGCUGCGCCCAUUGACGGGGGAAGUGAAACCUGCAUCUUGCUGGUAUUUUCUUUUUGCUCUACACCCCAAAUUGUUCCAUCGAACUAGGGCAGGGGUGCUCCCUGGGCUCCCCAGAAAGCCCUGCCCCGGACAGAUCCUGGGGUCACUGCAGGCAUCUGACUGGUCCCAGGGUAAACACAGCAAGGUUGCGGUGGGGCUGUUGCACUGGAAGUAGUGGAGGCCCAGUGGUGGGAGCCGCUGCCCUGGCUCCCUAUUCAGGCAGCGGAAUCUUUGCUCCAUCGGAUGCAUCAGGCGCGCCAGAGGCCCUGGAGUUUGUGGGCUCGUUGCCAAAAAUGGGUUGGCUCCGGAAAAAGACUUGUAUACGGGGUCCUGCAAAAUCUAAUCGCCCCGGGCCCACAGGAGAGUUAAUCCGGCCCUCACUAUCUGGUAUUGGCCCCUGCAGGACAUCCGACUGGACAGCAUGUGACGGGAUAGGGACGACGCUAUUUAUAAAGUAAACUGUCCCAAGAAAACAACGUGGGCUGAGAAUGCCUUGCCAGAAUAUUGAGCUGCCCACCUCUUCGCAGGGCUGAUCAGCUGACACAACUGAGAUGGAGGACGGUCUUGCAAUUAAAGCACCGGACUGUGAGUCAGGGCUCCUGACCUCUGGGCGUGGCUCUGCCACUGAUUCGCUGUGUGACUGUAAAUAAGGCCUUUAACCGCUCUGUGCCUCAGUUUCCCCAUCUGCAAAAUGGAAGUGCCGCUCGCCCACCAGCGCAGCUACUCUGUCAGUCUGGGAUAUUUUGUACCCUGGUAUUACAGUGUCCCGGUUAUCAUCAUUUUACCAAGUUUCUGUGAUGCCGCCUAUAUCAAUAGCCUCAUUUAAUACCAGUGCUCAAGUUCACUCAGCUUAAUAUUUAGACUUCUAGCGUCCGUGUACAAGCCCGUAUAACAUUUGUCACUAGUGAAUUGUCUGGCUUCA